rnacentral:rRNA from 1 species
CCUACGGGAGGCAGCAGUGGGGAAUAUUGGGCAAUGGAGGAAACUCUGACCCAGCGACGCCGCGUGCGGGAUGAAGGCCUUCGGGUUGUAAACCGCUUUCAGCAGGGAAUAAGCGCAAGUGAAGGUACCUGCAGAAGAAGCACCGGCUAACUAUGUGCCAGCAGCCGCGGUAAUACAUAGGGUGCAAGCGUUGUCCGGAAUUAUUGGGCGUAAAGAGCUCGUAGGUGGUUUGUUACGUCGGUUGUGAAAUUCAGGGGCUCAACCCCUGACUUGCAGCCGAUACGGGCAAGCCAGAGUUUGGUAGGGGAGACUGGAAUUCCUGGUGUAGCGGUGGAAUGCGCAGAUAUCAGGAGGAACACCGAUGGCGAAGGCAGGUCUCUGGGCCAAUACUGACACUGAGGAGCGAAAGCGUGGGGAGCGAACAGGAUUAGAUACCCUGGUAGUCCACGCCGUAAACGGUGGGCGCUAGUUGUGCGAACCUUCCACGGUUUGUGCGACGCAGCUAACGCAUUAAGCGCCCCGCCUGGGGAGUACGAUCGCAAGAUUAAAACUCAAAUGAAUUGACGG